GCGGUGGCUCACGCCUGUAAUCCCAGCACUUUAGGAGGCCGAGGCUGGCGGAUCGCCUGAAGUAAGCAGUUCGAGACCAGCCUGGCCAACAUGGUGAAACCCUGUCUCUACUAAAAAUACAAAAAUUAGCCGGGCGUGGUGGCAUGCGCCUGUAAUCCCAGCUACUCGGGAGGCUAAAGCAGGAGAAUCGCUUGAACCCGGGAGGCAAAUGUUGCAGUGAGCCGAGAUCGCGCCACUGCACUCCAGCCUGGGCGACAGAGUCAGACUCCCUCUCAAAAAAAAAAAAAAAAAAAAAAGCGAUUUGUUGUUUUGUUAGCAUGUAAGCCCUGGAUGCUUGAAACAAGUGAAAGAUGUUCAGAAUCUAAUCAAAUUAUAUCAUCUGAUGCUUUAAUUAGAGCCUAUUCUCUCUUCCUCUCCGUCUAUAUAUGUAUGUAUAUAGAUUACUAUCCAUCACUGUUUUAAUGGAUAUCUUAUUGGAAGGGCUACAUAGUCAGUAUUUCACAAUAUAUGAACUCCGCAUAACACCUAUGGCAAAACAUUUCAGCACUCAGGUAAAAUUCAUUUUUUGCCACAAAAUUACUUAAAAACAGGCCAGAACUUUAUAUAGCUCUUGUUAAAGGUUAAGUAGCUGGGAUAAUAAUGAAACAAAAAGAUGCAGCAGGACUCCAUUUCAAAGAGAGAGAGUCUGUGUGCCCAACUUCAGAGUAAGAAACCACUAGGUAAUAGUUUAUAUAGUUACUUAUAUGUAAUGUGGCUUUAUUUUUUAAAUAAAGAUUUGCAUAUAAUUGUUUAUAUCUGUGAAUUUAUAUUUAAUAUUAAACACAGUUUUGUAAGCAUAUAAGAUGGAAAAUGAAUGAAAUGCUCAAUCAAUGAGCUGUAUGCCAUGAGGAUUCAAAACAGCACUUUGGUGUUGCCAAAAUUCCGGUGGUGGACUUGUGAAGGAAUUCCCUUUGGACUAGGUCCACUGUAGAUUGUAUCCGGGACUAUCGUUAGUGCCUAAAUUGCAUUGCUUCCCACAGCACUAUAUGCUUCCCUUAAAAUUGGCCCAUUGCCAGUGGCAAAUCACUAUCUACUGUGAUCCUUAUCAUAGACAUUGGUCAUAUUUUUACGUUAUUAGUUUUCUGUGUAUAUUUUAGUGCUAUAGCCUGCCAUUCCAAGUUAAACAUGCUCUUAGCAUAUCAUUUUACACCGUUGAUCUAUAAUUCAUUACCUGAGCACAUGAGCAGAGG
rnacentral:lncRNA from 10 species